UGAUUCCAUCUUGUGGACCCUAACCUGCCGGUCCACCUCAUCAUGUAUGAUUGCUUUUUUUGCAGCCUUAAUAUUCUCUCCCUCUCUGCUUUGUCUCUUUCUCUUAUUUUUCUUUAUCUCACUUUCUCCUUCUUCAACACUUCCUGUAGGGGUUGUGUUGUCAACAACCCAAAUAUUUUUGACCACAUCCUCUCUGCGGAUCUCCUCAAUGCUAGGCAUCAAGAGGAUUGGUUUGUCGUACAAUUUUUCUACUGAUUUUCAUAGCUUGGAUAACUCGGCCGAUACACCUGCUAGGUUUGGGGACUGGACGACCUCAAGAUACCGAGUAAUCUUUUACUCAAACUGAUCAAGACUUGCCUGCAUAGUCCUCAUUUCUUCAGUCAGCCCUUUCUCAACCCAUGGUUUUACUCCACCCUCUAUAUGUUGCACCUUUGUCUCCAUAUUACUCAACCUCUUCAUCAUCUCAAUUAGAAAUGACUGCAACACCAUUACGUAGCCAAUUAGACCCAACUUAGUUGUGGAUAGUCAUGGUGUCGUAGUAGGUAGUAGAGUAGGAGUAUCGGAGGUUCUUGCUAUAUCUGAGGCCUGAGGUUCAGAUUGGACAGUCUCAGUAGGGGUAUCACCCCUCUCAGUAUCUUCUCUCUACCCUUGGGCCUUAUAAGCAUCACUCAAAAUAAUAGAUGCCAGCUUGGACAUCUUGGAUCUUGGGUUGGUGACGUCUUUGAUCAACCCUAAGUCUGUAGUGGUCCUUGUCCUCAAGAAUCGAUUGAUGUCUGGGAGCUCUAGCAUACUCGCGUCCAGAUAUUUUUGAGUCAAUAAGUAGGGGAAGGCCAAUACUGUAUCGGUGCCAGUGGCCCUAUCCCUGAUCUCACUAGCUAUUCACUUGGCUAUAUCAAUCUUGUAUCCUAACAUUAUGCCUACUAUCAGUGCUGCCUAUUCUAGACUCACGAUAUAGCCCGACAAAUUCAGACUCAACCUAUUUCUAGCUAGGGUCCAC
rnacentral:lncRNA from 1 species